UACGGGGGGAGCAAGCGUUGUUCGGAUUUACUGGGCGUAAAGGGGCGCGUAGGCGGUCGUGACAAGUCACUUGUGAAAUCUCCGGGCUUAACUCGGAACGGUCAAGUGAUACUGUCGGACUAGAGUACAGAAGGGGCAACUGGAAUUCUCGGUGUAGCGGUGAAAUGCGUAGAUAUCGAGAGGAGCACCUGCGGCGAAGGCGGGUUGCUGGGCUGAUACUGACGCUGAGGAGCGAAAGCGUGGGGAGCGAACAGG
rnacentral:rRNA from 1 species